rnacentral:rRNA from 1 species
UGGGGAAUAUUGGACAAUGGGCGAAAGCCUGAUCCAGCCAUGCCGCGUGUGUGAAGAAGGUCUUCGGAUUGUAAAGCACUUUAAGUUGGGAGGAAGGGCAGUUACCUAAUACGUGAUUGUUUUGACGUUACCGACAGAAUAAGCACCGGCUAACUCUGUGCCAGCAGCCGCGGUAAUACAGAGGGUGCAAGCGUUAAUCGGAAUUACUGGGUGUAAAGCGCGCGUAGGUGGUUUGUUAAGUUGGAUGUGAAAUCCCCGGGCUCAACCUGGGAACUGCAUUCAAAACUGACUGACUAGAGUAUGGUAGAGGGUGGUGGAAUUUCCUGUGUAGCGGUGAAAUGCGUAGAUAUAGGAAGGAACACCAGUGGCGAAGGCGACCACCUGGACUAAUACUGACACUGAGGUGCGAAAGCGUGGGGAGCAAACA